AACGAACGCUGGCGGCAGGCUUAACACAUGCAAGUCGAGCGAGACCUUCGGGUCUAGCGGCGGACGGGUGAGUAACGCGUGGGAACGUGCCCUUCUCUACGGAAUAGCCCCGGGAAACUGGGAGUAAUACCGUAUACGCCCUUUGGGGGAAAGAUUUAUCGGAGAAGGAUCGGCCCGCGUUGGAUUAGGUAGUUGGUGGGGUAAUGGCCCACCAAGCCGACGAUCCAUAGCUGGUUUGAGAGGAUGAACAGCCACACUGGGACUGAGACACGGCCCAGACUCCUACGGGAGGCAGCAGUGGGGAAUCUUAGACAAUGGGGGCAACCCUGAUCUAGCCAUGCCGCGUGAGUGAUGAAGGCCUUAGGGUUGUAAAGCUCUUUCAGCUGGGAAGAUAAUGACGGUACCAGCAGAAGAAGCCCCGGCUAACUCCGUG
rnacentral:rRNA from 1 species